rnacentral:ncRNA from 1 species
GAAUACCUGCCACCGGGCAGUGGAUGCGAAAGCAUCCUGGCACAUCGUUAGGUCUUUGAAGAUGUGCCGGGAUGCUUUUUUGUUUC